GCGCGUGAAGUUCAAACGGCUGAACUCUUGACUUCCAAUCAAGCUGCUGCGGGUUCGAGUCCCGUCGCGCGCUCCA
rnacentral:tRNA from 1 species